UACGUAGGGUGCAAGCGUUGUCCGGAAUUAUUGGGCGUAAAGGGCUCGUAGGCGGUUUGUCGCGUCGGGUGUGAAAACUCAGGGCUUAACCCUGAGCCUGCUUCCGAUACGGGCAGACUAGAGGUAUGCAGGGGAGAAUGGAAUUCCUGGUGUAGCGGUGAAAUGCGCAGAUAUCAGGAGGAACACCGGUGGCGAAGGCGGUUCUCUGGGCAUUACCUGACGCUGAGGAGCGAAAGUGUGGGGAGCGAACAGG
rnacentral:rRNA from 1 species